GCGUGAAAUUACUGUCAACAAACCCACGUGGAGCACAAAUGAUUUACAAUGGUUGAAUGGAAGUGACAGGCCUUCUCUUCAAAAUAAGCAAGUCUGAAUAGAUGUGUCCCUACGGAGGCAGCUAACAGAAAGUGGGAUAUAAUUAAGAUUGAAUUGUGAAUUUGCUCUGUGUCACCUCUAAAUGGCAGAAGAAAAUUCAACUAAGCACAACCAGAAACACUUUUCUGAAGAAAAUUCUGCCAAGAGACAGUUGUGAGGGGAAUUGUGUAGAUAAUCUCCAGAAAAGAAAUCAACACUGAUAUUGGGAUGUAUGUACCAAUAUUUUACAAUCAUCAAAGACAAAUUUACCGCAGGAAUAAAAAAAAUU